AUGUUACCUUAUGCUGAAGAGGAAAUGGCCUUAAAAUGGGUGUUUCAACAAGACAAUGACCCCAAACACAGCAGCAAACGAGUAGCAUCUUGGUUCAAGAUUAACGUUAUGGAGUGGCCAGCCCAAUCCUGGAACUUUAAUCCAUUAAAAAAAAACUUGUGGGGUGACUUCAACAAUGCUGUUUCUGAGGCAAAACCAAGAAAUGCAGAGGAACUGUGGAAUGUAGUCCUGGGCUGGAAUACCUGUUCACAGGUGCCAGAAGUUUGUUGAUUCCAUGUAACACAGAUGUAAAGCAGUUCUCAGAAACAGUGGUUACAUAACUAAACAUUAGCUCAGUGAUUCACAGGAAAGAUAAAUCUUCAAGCAUGUCAGUUUAUACUGUAAAUGUUUGAGUUUGUAAAGAAAAAUGCAGACACUGCUAUUUUUAUGAAUAGUCUAAUAUUCCUUUUUCUUCACUUUCAGCAAAGUAAUACAUUUGAUAAAUCUUUCUUCAUGUUUUGAUUUGGAAUAGAAUAUGUAGUGUUCCCAAUGCAUUUGCCUGUAUGGAAAUAAA